rnacentral:rRNA from 1 species
UACGGGGGGGGCAAGCGUUGUCCGGAUUUACUGGGCGUAAAGAGCGCGCAGGCGGUCGUAUAAGUCGCGUGUGAAAGCCCCCGGCUCAACUGGGGAGGGUCACGCGAUACUGUUCGACUCGAAGGCAGGAGAGGGAAGUGGAAUUCCCGGUGUAGUGGUGAAAUGCGUAGAUAUCGGGAGGAACACCAGUGGCGAAGGCGACUACCUGGCCUGUUUCUUGACGCUGAGGCGCGAAAGCUAGGGGAGCAAACGGG